AUUUCUUUGUAAAAGUUUCAGAGUGGAAACUGCAACAGAAGCAACAAAGAGAGCAACAAGAAAUAAUUGAUUUAACAAUGGGAAACAAUGAGCUUGGCAAAGAUUCAGAAUCUUUGACUUAGCCAAUAAUGGAUGGUAGCAACUUGCAACUGGAGACUUCGGUAUCAAUUUGUAUUAGAUCCAAUUUUUAACAGUAAUUCACAAUUGUAGUCAAGUUGAAUGCCUGAAUUCCAGCUUAUAAUGGGGUGGUUGAAUCAUUUCUUUCAUAAGCCAUAAAAAUUCCUUCUUUCCCUAAAAAAGUGGAAUAAAAACCACAUAUGCCAAAUUCUUUUUGUAAAGUUGUGGAUCACCUGGCAGGUUGGCAUAUGCCUGCUGUAAUGGUUCGUGGAGCAAGUAUGCCUUUGUGGCUUGCAAAACUUCUCCCAGAUCAAGGAAAGAGAACCUUUGCUUGCUAUCAGAAUGGACUUCCACAAUUAUUAUUAUUAUUAUUAUUUAUUUUGGUUUCUCCCUAACAAUGACCAUGAUAUCGCUGUUUUUGCUAUGCAAAAUUGUUUUUUUUUUUUUUUGGGCGCAGUAAUGAUGACAAUGUCCCUUUUAUCAUUAAGAAUUACUGAUUGACCACCAUGCAUGCGGUAGUGUGUUGGCUAUGGUUCUUUUAUUUUGCACACGAAGCUUCUGUCUAUUUUUGCAGUGUCCUCAAUUUCAGCUUUGCAUAUAUCAGCUAACUUAGUCACCCUGAUCAUCUCUGCACAGCUAUACUACAAGUGAGCUAGACAUACGUUCGGAUAAAACUCCUGAAGAGCGCGCUCUUCUUGUAGAAUCUAGAAGGGAGUUCUGCUUUCCUUAUUCUAUUUUACAUCUUAGGGAGAGCCUUCCUAAGUUUUUUUUUUUUUUUUCUUUUUUCUUUUUUCUUUUCUUUCUUUAGUAAAAACCUCCGAAGGAUGUAUUCUGGUUAAUUUGCUUAAUUUGCUUUUGUGGAAUUCUUUUGCUAUGUUUUUCUUUGGAUUAAUCUUUAUUUUGAUGGAAUGCAAUAAGCUUCUGUUAAUUUAUUUCCCCUG